AUACGGAGGGGACUAGCGUUGUUCGGAAUUACUGGGCGUAAAGAGUUCGUAGGCGGACUGAUAAGUAAGAGGUGAAAUCCCAGGGCUCAACCCUGGAACUGCCUUUUAAACUGUCAGUCUAGAGACCGGAAGAGGUUAGGGGAAUACCUAGUGUAGAGGUGAAAUUCGUAGAUAUUAGGUGGAACACCAGUGGCGAAGGCGCCUAACUGGUCCGGUACUGACGCUGAGGAACGAAAGCGUGCGGAGCAAACAGGAUUAGAAACCCUAGUAGUCC
rnacentral:rRNA from 1 species